rnacentral:rRNA from 1 species
AGCGAACGCUGGCGGCAGGCUUAACACAUGCAAGUCGAGCGGGCACUUCGGUGUCAGCGGCAGACGGGUGAGUAACACGUGGGAACGUACCCUUCGGUUCGGAAUAACGCUGGGAAACUAGCGCUAAUACCGGAUACGCCCGUUUUGGGGUAAAGGUUUACUGCCGAAGGAUCGGCCCGCGUCUGAUUAGCUAGUUGGUGGGGUAAUGGCCUACCAAGGCGACGAUCAAUAGCUGGUCUGAGAGGAUGAUCAGCCACACUGGGACUGAGACACGGCCCAGACUCCUACGGGAGGCAGCAGUGGGGAAUAUUGGACAAUGGGCGCAAGCCUGAUCCAGCCAUGCCGCGUGAGUGAUGAAGGCC